AUUAUCCUCUGGUUGGCAAUUAUGCAAAGACUCACGACUAGAGACAAACUUGUCAAACUUGGACUCACAAAUAAUGCUAAAUGCAUGUUAUGUAAUCAUUAUGAUGAGGAUAUAAACCACAUUUUCUUCGGAUGUGAAUACAACAACUAUAUCUAGAAGACCAUUUUGAGGAAAAGUUUCUUGAGUUACAAUGGGCAAAACUAGAACUCCUUUAUUGAUGAAAUUUCUUUGGAUUGGAAGGAAGUCAGUUAAAAUUCUUGAUGGGCAAGUUAAGCCUGGGCCUACUAUUUAUGCCAUUUGGAAGGAAAGAAACAACAGGAUUUUCUCUAAUCUUCUGCAGCCCAAAGAUAGAAUUGUGGAAAGGCUCAAAAGACUGGUUCCCUCUUUUUGAUCUUUAGUUGAGUCCUAUUAUGUAGGCUUUGGUGCUGGUUGCAGUGGCCAAUAUUGAUAGCUUUUCCCCUCUCCAUUGCCUCAACUCUGCUGCUGGGAUUUUCUCUUCUGCUCUUUCCUGGUGGCUUUCGAAAGCUGCCUUUUCGCUACUGUAUUCUGGAGCUUGAAUCUCCUGUUUCCUGGUGCUUGUGUUUGCUUCUAAAUUCUGAUCAGAAGCUUUUGCAUCAGUUUUCUCUGCUUCCCCUGUUUUUGCCGUUCAUUCCCCUGCUCCUUCUGCUGUUGUUCUCCUGGCCUCCCUUUUCCCCAGCUGUGGCUUGGUUUGGUGCCCUCAAAAAUUUCUCCUGGUCUGCUGCUUGGUUUCCUUGCAGUUGACGCAUGCUUCUGGUGCUCAUGGACCUUCAGUCUUUGCUGGUCUGGUUGGCUUGAAUUCUUCCUGCAGGCUUUUCCUUCAGUCUAUGAGGAUCUUUGGAUACUGGUUUGUUGUAUGAUCAAGCAAGCUGAGUUUUGUCUCUCGUAGAGCGUCAGAAUUCAUUGAGUUUGGAUUGUCAAUUGAUUCGGCCGGUGCUUUUGUCAUUUCCUUAUUUUGCUUUUGUCCAUUACGUCUGCUUCCCAGUGUUGGCACCCGCAUUUCCUCCUGAUGUGCUUUGUAGUGUUCAUUGCUGUGCUGGUUGUUCUCAGUUGUUCGCCUGGAGUGCUACAUUCGAGUUUGGAGCCAGUAGUCCGCUCUCUGCUGCUAUACUGUUUCUUUUGCAGGCUGAUGCUGGUUUCUUGUCUGGUGCUGCUGGAGUGCGGAUAUGCAUCUGAGCUCUCUGCCUCCUUGGUUGCCGCUGUGGUAUGGAUUUCUUUCCAGGUGUUAUGCAUUUCCCUGCUGCCUGAGGAUCUGCCUUGGCAUCUCUUUUGCUUGUUUCUGUGGCAGCUAUUUAUUUGUUGUCUUAGUUAGUGGAAGCUGUCCAAGUCAUUCGGCCUCAGCCUCAAUUUUCCAACAGCGUGGCUCCUGGGCCUUGGAUUAAUUUGUUGAGUUGAUGGGCUCCGUGAGUUUCUUUGGGAUGCAACGUUUCUAUAGCCUUGGUGCAUGUUUGUUUGAAUGCUAUAAUGUGUAGUAAUUCCUUGGCAUAUGUUUCAUCUUCUCUUUGAGUCUUGAUUGGACUCUUCCUUGUUGGCUGGGCUUUUAUUAUGUUUUGGCAGUGUAUUAUUGGCUAUCCUCCUUGGGGAUGAGUUCAGGACGUAUUGGGACUGUUUUUGGAAGAAUUUGUAACAUAAAAUAUUUAACCAUAAAAAAAAGGUAAAAUUUCGAGUCAA